GUAGGUACUCCCUUAUAUCGGUUACAAAUCGCUGUAUGCACCGAUCAAAAAGGUGUAUAAGCAGAAAUAUUCCAUUAGAAAGGAUUAUUAAUUCUAAUAGAUUCAGGAUAGGUUCGGUUAUUCCAUAUUUUUUUGGCUUUUCUAUCAGAGUCCCUAGAUGACUCUACACGUGUCGUGCCACUGGGAUUAUGACUGGCCAACUACAUGGAACAAUAAUGAAAGGUGGCAAUGGAGAUUAAUAAACUUAAUUGGCCAAAGGGUGUUUCCUAAUAUAUGAUUAGUGUGUCCUGAUUUUCUGAGAAAGGAGAAAGAAAGUAGGCCAGAAGGGAAUUUCUUGAAGUUCUAAGAAACUGAGCUGGGAUGUAACUGCACCAUCCUAUUGCUGAUUGUAUGAUGAUUCAGUGCUUGAUAUAUGAUGUUUGUGGAAAUCAAUAUAGGAGUACAGACGGCGGAGACGGAGCUGAGUACCAGUAAAGUCACAGUUACUGGCACCAUGGAUGCAGACAGGCUUGUUGAUUAUGUAUACAGACGCACCAAAAAACAAGCACGUAUUGUUCCACAGCCUGAACCUGAGAAGCAGGAGGAAAACAAAGAGGGUGAGAAGCCAGCUGAAGAAACAAAGCCUGAAGAAAAGAAAGAGGAAAAUGCAGAGAAAGCAGAGGAGGGCAAACCACCAGAAGAAGCAAAGAAAGGUGAGGAAGGCAAUGGUGGUGAAAAUAAUGAGAGCAAAGAAGAGAAGGGUGGUGAAAACAAGGAAGAGGGUAAAGUUGGAGAGAUCCCCAUGGAUGAUGAAACAAUGAAGAGGAUGAUGUACUACUAUCAACCGCUCUAUGUCAUUGAGCGAAUGCCACCUCCCCAACUCUUCAGUGAUGAGAACCCCAAUGCCUGUUGCAUCUCAUAAUCAAAAUUUUCUUAGUAAAUUAAGCUAUUAUCCUACGAUGUAAUUUCAAUACACUGCCUGGGGAUGAGAACUUAGGACUUUGGUGGAGAGUGUC
rnacentral:lncRNA from 1 species